UACAGAGGGAGCAAGCGUUGUUCGGAAUUACUGGGCGUAAAGGGCGCGUAGGCGGUUCGAUAAGUCCCGUGUGAAAUCCCUCGGCUCAACUGAGGAAUGGCACGGGAAACUGACGGGCUUGAGUUCGGGAGAGGGAAGCGGAAUUCCGGGUGUAGCGGUGAAAUGCGUAGAUAUCGGGAGGAACAUCUGUGGCGAAGGCGACACCCUGGACCAGCACUGACACUGAGGCACGAAAGCGUGGGGAGCAAACAGG
rnacentral:rRNA from 1 species